UACGUAGGGGGCAAGCGUUGUCCGGAUUUAUUGGGCGUAAAGAGCGUGUAGGCGGCCAGACAGGUCCGUUGUGAAAACUCGAGGCUCAACCUCGAGACGCCGAUGGAAACCGUCUGGCUAGAGUCCGGAAGAGGAGAGUGGAAUUCCUGGUGUAGCGGUGAAAUGCGCAGAUAUCAGGAAGAACACCCGUGGCUAAGGCGGCUCACUGGCCCGGUACUGACGCUGAGGCACGAAAGCGUGGGGAGCAAACAGG
rnacentral:rRNA from 1 species